UACGAAGGGGGCUAGCGUUGUUCGGAAUUACUGGGCGUAAAGCGCACGUAGGCGGGAUUGUUAAGUCGGGGGUGAAAUCCUGGAGCUCAACUCCAGAACUGCCUUCGAUACUGGCGAGUCUCGAGUUCGGGAGAGGUGAGUGGAACUGCGAGUGUAGAGGUGAAAUUCGUAGAUAUUCGCAAGAACACCAGUGGCGAAGGCGGCUCACUGGCCCGAUACUGACGCUGAGGUGGCGAAAGCGGUGGGGAGCAACGGGAUUAAGAU
rnacentral:rRNA from 1 species